rnacentral:rRNA from 1 species
UACGUAGGGAGCAAGCGUUGUCCGGAAUCAUUGGGCGUAAAGCGCGCGUAGGUGGCCCCGUAAGUCCGCUGUGAAAGUCAAAGGCUCAACCUUUGAAAGCCGGUGGAUACUGUGGGACUAGAGUACGGAAGAGGCGAGUGGAAUUCCUGGUGUAGCGGUGGAAUGCGCAGAUAUCAGGAGGAACACCAAUAGCGAAGGCAGCACUCUGGGACGUGACUGACGCUGAGACGCGAAAGCGUGGGGAGCAAACAGG